rnacentral:rRNA from 1 species
AGAUUGAACGCUGGCGGCAUGCCUAACGCAUGCAAGUCGAACGGCAGCGCGGGUAGCAAUACCUGGCGGCGAGUGGCGGACGGGUGAGGAAUACAUAGGAAUCUACCCUGUCGUGGGGGAUAACGUAGGGAAACUUACGCUAAUACCGCAUACGACCGAGAGGUGAAAGCGGCGGACCGCAAGGCGUCGCGCGGCUGGAUGAGCCUAUGUCCGAUUAGCUAGUUGGCGGGUAAGAGCCCACCAAGGCGACGAUCGGUAGCUGGUCUGAGAGGAUGAUCAGCCACACUGGGACUGAGACACGGCCCAGACUCC